rnacentral:rRNA from 1 species
ACGCUAGCGACAGGCUUAACACAUGCAAGUCGAGGGGCAGCACAGGUAGCAAUACCGGGUGGCGACCGGCGCACGGGUGAGUAACGCGUAUGCAACUUACCUAUCAGAGGGGGAUAACCCGGCGAAAGUCGGACUAAUACCGCAUGAAGCAGGGGCCCCGCAUGGGGAUAUUUGCUAAAGAUUCAUCGCUGAUAGAUAGGCAUGCGUUCCAUUAGGCAGUUGGCGGGGUAACGGCCCACCAAACCGACGAUGGAUAGGGGUUCUGAGAGGAAGGUCCCCCACAUUGGUACUGAGACACGGACCAAACUCCUACGGGAGGCAGCAGUGAGGAAUAUUGGUCAAUGGCCGAGAGGCUGAACCAGCCAAGUCGCGUGAGGGAUGAAGGUUCUAUGGAUCGUAAACCUCUUUUAUAAGGGAAUAAAGUGCGGGACGUGUCCCGUUUUGUAUGUACCUUAUGAAUAAGGAUCGGCUAACUCCGUGCCAGCAGCCGCGGUAAUACGGAGGAUCCGAGCGUUAUCCGGAUUUAUUGGGUUUAAAGGGUGCGUAGGCGGCCUUUUAAGUCAGCGGUGAAAGUCUGUGGCUCAACCAUAGAAUUGCCGUUGAAACUGGGGGGCUUGAGUAUGUUUGAGGCAGGCGGAAUGCGUGGUGUAGCGGUGAAAUGCAUAGAUAUCACGCAGAACCCCGAUUGCAAAGGCAGCCUGCCAAGCCAUUACUGACGCUGAUGCACGAAAGCGUGGGGAUCAAACAGGAUUAGAUACCCUGGUAGUCCACGCAGUAAACGAUGAUCACUAGCUGUUUGCGAUACACUGUAAGCGGCACAGCGAAAGCGUUAAGUGAUCCACCUGGGGAGUACGCCGGCAACGGUGAAACUCAAAGGAAUUGACGGGGGCCCGCACAAGCGGAGGAACAUGUGGUUUAAUUCGAUGAUACGCGAGGAACCUUACCCGGGUUUGAACGCAUUCGGACCGAGGUGGAAACACCUUUUCUAGCAAUAGCCGUUUGCGAGGUGCUGCAUGGUUGUCGUCAGCUCGUGCCGUGAGGUGUCGGCUUAAGUGCCAUAACGAGCGCAACCCUUGCCACUAGUUACUAACAGGUAAAGCUGAGGACUCUGGUGGGACUGCCAGCGUAAGCUGCGAGGAAGGCGGGGAUGACGUCAAAUCAGCACGGCCCUUACAUCCGGGGCGACACACGUGUUACAAUGGCGUGGACAAAGGGAAGCCACCUGGCGACAGGGAGCGAAUCCCCAAACCACGUCUCAGUUCGGAUCGGAGUCUGCAACCCGACUCCGUGAAGCUGGAUUCGCUAGUAAUCGCGCAUCAGCCAUGGCGCGGUGAAUACGUUCCCGGGCCUUGUACACACCGCCCGUCAAGCCGUGGGAGCCGGGGGUACCUGAAGUCCGUAACCGCGAGGAUCGGCCUAGGGUAAAACUGGUGACUGGG